GGAAGUAAAAGUUCGUAACAAGGUCUCCGUUGUUGAACCAGCGGAGGGAUCAUUACCAGAGUCUUACCACUCCCAACCCUUCUGUGAACCUACCUAUCGUUGCUUCGGCGGACUCGCCCCAGCGUCCGGACGGCCCCGCGCCGGCCCGCGACCUGGACCCAGGCGGCCGCCGGAGACCACACAAUCCUGUAUCCAUCAGUCUCUCUGAAUCCGCCGCAAGGCAAACCAAACGAAUCAAAACUUUCAACAAUGGAUCUCUUGGUUCUG
rnacentral:misc_RNA from 1 species